rnacentral:rRNA from 1 species
UACAGAGGUCUCAAGCGUUGUUCGGAAUCACUGGGCGUAAAGGGUGCGUAGGUGGCCUGGAAAAGUUUGAUGUGAAAGCUCGGAGCUUAACUCCGAAAUGGCAUUGAAUACUACUGGGCUUGAGGGUCGGAGGGGAGACUGGAAUUCUCGGUGUAGCAGUGAAAUGCGUAGAUAUCGAGAGGAACACCGGUGGCGAAGGCGGGUCUCUGGCGAGUAACCUGACGCUGAGGAGCGAAAG